AUCGAGAUUUUUAUUUAGGUUUAUUGAUUUUAAAAGAUUUUCUAAUUAUAGAAGUGUUUAUUAUUAUUAAGAAUAACUUAUUAUUAUUAUAGAAAAAUAGUACUGUGAAGGAAUAUACUUUAAAUGUUGAAAAGAAAUUUUUAUUUAUUGUACCUUGUGUAUCAGGGUUUAUUAAUAAAAAAUUAAAAUUUUAGUUUUCUCGAAUCUAAAAGAGUUAUUUAAUUAUGAAUUUUAUUGUAAAAUAAAUAUUUUUAAUAGUUAAAUCGUAAUGAAAUGUUAAUCGUUUUUAGAGAUAUCUAGUUUUUUCAGAAAUGAAUUUAAUUCAAAUAUACAAAUGUAUUAAAUUUAUUAUUUAAUUUUUUAUAUUGUAUAAGAAAUAUUUUGAGGGAUGAGCUUUAGAAUAUUGCUAUAAAAUUUAAAUGGAUUUAUUUAUGUAGGAUUAGAAAUUUCUUUCACUAAUAAUUUGUUAUUAUUAAAAUAAUUUUUUAAAAAAUUUAUAUAAUUUUUAGUGAGUUAUGAAAAAAUGAAAUUUAAUGAUUAAGUUUGAGAUUUUAUGAUAAAAUUAGUAUAAUAUUAUGUAGACUUAUUUUUUUAAAAAAGGUUAAAUUAAGGAAUUCGGCAAUUUUGUCUUUCGCCUGUUUAAUAAAAACAUGUCUUUUUGAUUUUAUUUAAAGUCUGACCUGCCCCCUGAAAUUUUAAAGGCUGCAGUAUAUUGACUGUACAAAGGUAGCAUAAUCAUUAGUCUUUUAAUUGAAGACUUGUAUGAAUGGUUUGACGAGAAGACUUCUGUCUCAAUUUAAUUUAUUUAGAAUUUUACUUUUAAGUUAAAAGGCUUAAAUUUUUAUAAAAGACGAGAAGACCCUAUAGAGUUUUAUAAAUUUUUAUAGUUUAUGAAUUUUAGAAUAAUUUUAUAAAAUUUUAAAAAUUUAUUUAAUUGGGGUGAUUGAAAAAUUUAAUAAACUUUUUCUUUUUAAAACAAAAAUUUUUGACUAAUUGAUCCAUUGUAAUGAUUAAAAGUUUAAAUUACCUUAGGGAUAACAGCGUAAUUUUUCUUGAGAGUUCUUAUUAAAAGAAAAGAUUGCGACCUCGAUGUUGGAUUAAAAUUUAUAGUUGGUGUAGAAGUUAACUAAUUUGGUCUGUUCGACCAUUAAAAUUUUACAUGAUCUGAGUUUAAACCGGCGUAAGCCAGGUUGGUUUCUAUCUUUAUGAAAAGUUCUUGGUUCAGUACGAAAGGACCAAACAAGAUUAUUAAAUAAUGUGAUUGAAUAUUAAU
rnacentral:rRNA from 1 species